GAAAUGCGAUAAGUAAUGUGAAUUGCAGAAUUCAGUGAAUCAUCGAAUCUUUGAACGCACCUUGCGCUCCUUGGUAUUCCUUGGAGCAUGCCUGUUUGGGUAUCAUGAAAUCUUCAAAGUAAAUCUUUUGUUAACUCAAUUGGUUUCUACUUUGGUAUUGGAGGUCUUUGCAGCUUCACACCUGCUCCUCUUUGUUCAUUAGCUGGAUCUCAGUGUUAUGCUUGGUUCCACUCGGCGUGAUAAGUUAUCUAUCGCUGAGGACACUGUAAAAGGUGGCCAAGGUAAAUGCAGAUGAACCGCUUCUAAUAGUCCAUUGACUUGGACAAUACUUUUAUGAUCUGAUCUCAACUCAGGUAGGACUACCCGCUGAACUUAAGC
rnacentral:misc_RNA from 1 species